rnacentral:rRNA from 1 species
CGCGUAGGUGGUUGUGUAAGUCGGAUGUGAAAUCCCCAGGCUCAACUUGGGAACCGCAUCCGAUACUGCAUGACUCGAGUGCAGCGGAGGGAAACGGAAUUCCUGGUGUAGAGGUGAAAUUCGUAGAUAUCAGGAGGAACACCGGUGGCGAAGGCGGUUUCCUGGGCUGACACUGACACUGAGGCGCGAAAGCGUGGGUAGCAAACAGGAUUAGAUACCCUGGUAGUCCACGCUGUAAACGGUGAGUGCUGGGUGUGGGAGGUGUAAUGCCUUCUGUGCCGAAGCUAACGCGUUAAGCACUCCGCCUGGGGAGUACGGCCGCAAGGUUGAA